UGUUAACCGAACCUCCCUCCUCCACUCUUCAUAUUUUUCUUCUUCUUGCAUUUUACAUAUAUACCUUGUGAGAUUUGAAUGAUCUUUUAGAGAGUUUUAGUAGAUCAAUUUAAGAGAUGAUUAAAGAAAAGAUUAAAGCUUGAGGUUGAAAGUGUGAACUGGAUAGACACCUCGUCGAGAGAGACAUACCGUUCUCAUGUAGCGUAAGUUGAAUGUGUUUGACGCAUGCUAAGCUAACGACCACCCAGGCUGUUAGUAAUUGGGGAUAGUUAAGGUAUCAUGGUGUCGUGAAGACAUGCAAGAUGUGAAUGUCUUUGGCUAGGAGUUCAAGAUCAGCUUAGGGUUUUGUUUCAGAGUGUUGUCUGUGUUUGUUUGAGAAGUUUGUUGUUAAAGCUUAAUGCUUAAAUGUGUUAUUGGUAUUGACAUUCACUUGUUGUCAAAUACUUUGUAAGAAAAUAUAUUCAAGUGGUCUAAUAUUUUAUAACCUAGGGCAUUUCUUUGGUUCUAGUUAUGGAAAAGAUUUAGACAGGUUGUCAUUAUGUUCUUUUAGACAAUAUGUUUAAUUGUGUUCUUAAACCAUUAAUUGAGAAAACAAUUUAUAAAAGUGGUCUUGUUUUAUGAUCAUUGUAUUACAAAACUUUACUCUGAUUUGUUUUAAAGAUGAUCAUAUUUCAAAGACUUUUGUUGUUUUAAAAAGAAAAAAAAAAUACACUCUCGCUGUUAAAAAUCGGGGUGUUACAAAUAGGAAAACAGAGACUUAUCUAUAGUCAGAUACUUUGAACAACCACUAUCAAAUCACAAUUUAGCAUUUGUUACUAUACAACAUACUUGUGUUAUGAACCUAAACUUUUUACUUUAGAUUCCCUCGUCAUUUUGAACCCUCUAACGUUAGUGUAGUGCUGAUUAUUUAUAGGUUUCCAAUUAGAGUUAUGAUCAUAGAAGUAAGAUGAAGAAUAAUUAUUUCUCGUUUUUAUUUUCAUCAUUUUCUUAUCGAAAUGAUAUGAACUAAGAGUAUUUUUCAUUUCGUGAUUCUUUCAAAUAAGGCGCGAUAAAGAAAUAUGA